rnacentral:lncRNA from 1 species
GUUGGGGUUGGGGUCACCGUGGUGGUGGUGCUGAUGGGUGUCGUUGUUGGGGUCUGUGUGCCGGUGGGUGUUGGGGUUGGGGUCACCGUGGUGGUGGUGGUGAUGGGUGUCACCGUGGUGGUGGUGCUGAUGGGUGUCGUUGUUGGGGUCUGUGUGCCGGUGGGUGUUGGGGUUGGGGUCACCGUGGUGGUGGUGGUGAUGGGUGUCGUGGUUGGGGUCUGUGUGCCGGUGGGUGUUGGGGUUGGGGUCACCGUAGUGGUGGUGCUGAUGGGUGUCGAUGUUGGGGUCUGUGUGCCGGUGGGUGUUGGGGUUGGG